rnacentral:rRNA from 1 species
CACUUCGCUGACGAGUGGCGGACGGNUGAGUAAUGCUUGGGAACUUGCCUUUGCGAGGGGGAUAACAGUUGGAAACGACUGCUAAUACCGCAUAACGUCUACGGACCAAACGGGGCUUAGGCUCCGGCGCAAAGAGAGGCCCAAGUGAGAUUAGCUAGUUGGUAAGGUAAAGGCUUACCAAGGCAACGAUCUCUAGCUGUUCUGAGAGGAAGAUCAGCCACACUGGAACUGAGACACGGUCCAGACUCCUACGGGAGGCAGCAGUGGGGAAUAUUGCACAAUGGGGGAAACCCUGAUGCAGCCAUGCCGCGUGUGUGAAGAAGGCCUUCGGGUUGUAAAGCACUUUCAGUUGUGAGGAAAAGUUAGUAGUUAAUACCUGCUAGCCGUGACGUUAACAACAGAAGAAGCACCGGCUAACUCCGUGCCAGCAGCCGCGGUAAUACGGAGGGUGCGAGCGUUAAUCGGAAU